rnacentral:ncRNA from 1 species
GUAAAAGCGUUGAACGAAAGAGUAGUCGGCAGGCGAAGUAACAGAGAGAAGUUCCCAUUGGCUGAAAGGAACUUUUAUCGAGCGGCGGGCGAAGUGCAUUCGGGAGCAGAUUGUACGAAGGACUUCAGGUCAGUAGUGCAGUCCGGCAGCCACCGUUAUCCGGCAGGCCUAUGAUAGUAGGUGAAAAGGCAGCCUUUGGGCUGUGAAUUAGAGUGGAACCACGAUAACCUCGUCUCUAUG